GAUGCUGGGGAGGAAGUGACUGUAGGCUGGCCAGCUGCAUCCUUCAGGAGGCACCAGACACCUGCAACCACCAGGGUUAUUGAAGCAAGAUCCCAGAAGGUAGGGGCUACUUAAUUGUGUUUUUUGGUCUUUCUCUCUUCUAGCACCUGAUAAUUGCUUUAUAAAAUUCUUGUUUGCUGAAUGUAUGACAUCACUACACAUUUAGGAUGUAUUGCCUCAUUUGGGAGCCUUCAAAGCUGUUCAACAGUCCUUCAGCUCUACCCUUAUCUGGACUCUCUUCUCCAAGCCACCAAGAGCCCAAAUGGUGAAACUGCAAAGGACUGAGUAACCCAUGGUAAAGAAGGGUAACUUCACUGUGUUAUUCAAAUUAUCCUGGAGCUACUUCCCAAAAGAUUUCCAAAUGGGAAAGAAGAUAAGAGCCAGUUAGCUACUGUUAUUUUGGUUCUGCUGCCAUCUUAAAGAAGAGGGAAAUCUAUAACACUUCUGUUUAAAUGCCACUCUCUAAGAUCUUACAAUCUUAGAAUUUUAGAUCUCAGAAGUCCCUUUAAAAUUGUUGGAUAGUGGAAAGUGAAAUGAAUUGAGAAUGAAAAGACCUUGGUUCUAAUCCUGGUUCUUCUGGUAAAUGGAGUUAGGAUCCCUCCUUUUCUUGUCUUUAAAAUGAUGGAAUUAGCCCAGAUAACACCUAAUGUUCUGGUUCCUCCUAGUUUCAAAAUAAUAAACUUCUUCAAGCUUGACUGCCUCUAUAGUCA
rnacentral:lncRNA from 1 species